GUUCUUGAUUUCAGCAGCACACAUACUAAAACUAGAAUGAUACAGAGAAGAUUAGCAUGACCCUGCAUAAAAAAAAAAUUCCAAUUGUAUCAUUGAAACUGAGUCUG
rnacentral:snRNA from 1 species